rnacentral:rRNA from 1 species
GAUGAACGCUGGCGGCGUGCCUAAUACAUGCAAGUCGAGCGAACAGACGAGGAGCUUGCUCCUCUGACGUUAGCGGCGGACGGGUGAGUAACACGUGGAUAACCUACCUAUAAGACUGGGAUAACUUCGGGAAACCGGAGCUAAUACCGGAUAAUAUAUUGAACCGCAUGGUUCAAUAGUGAAAGACGGUUUUGCUGUCACUUAUAGAUGGAUCCGCGCCGCAUUAGCUAGUUGGUAAGGUAACGGCUUACCAAGGCAACGAUGCGUAGCCGACCUGAGAGGGUGAUCGGCCACACUGGAACUGAGACACGGUCCAGACUCCUACGGGAGGCAGCAGUAGGGAAUCUUCCGCAAUGGGCGAAAGCUUGACGGAGCAACGCCGCGUGAAUGAUGAAGGUCUUCGGAUCGUAAAACUCUGUUAUUAGGGAAGAACAAAUGUGUAAGUAACUAUGCACGUCUUGACGGUACCUAAUCAGAAAGCCACGGCUAACUACGUG